GCGACCGGAAUGAGAGCCAGAGAAGAGAGCAAGCAGAGGGAUUGUGCGCAGUGAAGGGUCCGCGGAGGGGGGAUAUGAUUAUUGACUCGGCUUGCUUCCAUAAUCUAGCAAGCCUGGUCGCUUCGCUUCCUCGCUGACACCCAAGCUAGUAUAGCCAAGCGCCCGACAUCUUGUGUUCCUUUCCUCCCGCAAGCGGACGCCAAACAGGACUAAAUGUUCGUCGGAUCGGUUUGCAGUUUACUGCCAAAAAAUCUCUAGAAACGUCGCGUUUCGGUAUAUUUAUAAAGUAGCAUACAAUCAGAAACACGUGGUAUGCUUGGCCUUGAACUUGUAUAUGUGUAUACACGGAAAUAUUGUUCUUUCCAUGACUUGAAAGUAUGGUCUUUGUGUGCGGUAAGCUAACUGAUAAUUGUGUCUUGCGUGAGUGAUUCUUCUAUUUUCUACCUGUGUGCUACAAGUGAAGUGAAAAUAUUGUGCAAUUAAACUUAUCAGACAUCUACUGAGCAUCUAGAAUCUAUUGCGGAUUUGACCCCUUUGUCCAGCAAGGCUGUGAACCAGUUAUAAUGCCUAUUACGGAGCAUUUAUAGCUUGAAAGUCAACAUUGUUUUGCUUGAAUAUGGCUGAAGUGUGGUGUCACAAUUAGAUGAAGAACAGGUACUCUUGGAGCAGAUUUUCCUAGUUGUGAUGAACAACACACAGAAUCUGGCCAAACCAGAACAUAAGGAGUGAAACUAUUUACAAGACUGUCCCUCACUUCAAAAUCAGAAUUUGGGGUCGCUGAAUCCAAAUCCGAAAUCAGAAUCUUUCUAUCUUCAUUUUCAAGAGAGAUAGUUUUUGAGAAAAAGUGGUGACCGGAGAGACGUAGAAUCACCAUGUGAAAGCGGCGAUUUGUCCGCUAGUAUCUCGAUCCAAGCCGGUUUCUGCUUGCCUCGAGGGGAAAAGACGUGACAAAAGGAGGUUCCUGGCUCGGGGUCACCAUGUGAAAGACACGAUUUGACUCAAUGUACUUCGACAUAAAAACGUGAACACUGUUCAGUGUUCAAGUUGCACGUCUCCUAUCGUGUGAAAGUAGCCAAAGGGAACUCCACUUUCCAAGCCCUUCUUCCUAUGGCCUUCUUCUUCUUCUAUAGUUUAUGAAAGUCAUAAAAAGCCCAAUUUCAAUUGAAAUAUAAAGAAAUAGUUGAUUUCAUCAACUUCACCCUUUGUUCAUUUUCUUAUUAUCAACCUCCUUUUCUAGAUAGAAAAACAACAUUAAUGCUGAAGUCCCAUCAGAACUGGACUUUCUUUUGUUACUUUAGCAACCAAGUGUUUUGGGAUUUUCCCCAUCUCAAAAGUCUGGCAUCAGUAUGAAUAUCAAAAUAUGUAGCUAGAUUAAUAAACAGCAAAGUAUUGCAACUA